ACGCAAACAUAUGGCUCGAAAAUCCAGAAGAGUUCUAGGCUCUCGCACUUAUCACGAUUACAGUGAUAAUACGCUGCGAAGAGUAUUGGAGGCAAUGGAACAAGGCCAAACACUAAGAUCAGCCUUAAAGCAAUUUGGUAUUUUACUAGGGACCUUAUCACGUAAAAGAAGAAGUCUAUCCACUCGCAAAUACGGAGGCCAGAAGGUUCUGUCCGAUGCAGAGGAGAAUCAAUUGGUUCAUGGGAUAAAAAUGGCAGGUAGUUGGGGGUUUCCUUCAACCGUUUACGAUAUAAAAAUUCUUGUUCAAAAUUACUUGGACAAAAAAGGAGUCAAAGAAAAGUGAUUUAAAAAUAACAUCCCUGGUCGCAGAUGGAUGGAAAGAUUUCUAUUUGAACAUCGAAAGGAGUUAACAGAAAGAAAUGCAGAAAAUGUCAAAAGAUCUCGUUCUGAAGUAUCUGAAAAGAUAACAAAUGAUUAUUUUUCGGAAUUAUUAAAAUCUUUGGAAGGGGUAGAACCAAGUUAUAUCUUUAAUUAUGAUGAGACUAACUUUACAGACGACCCCGGAAAAAAAACGAGUCAUAGUUAAACGGGGUUCAAAACAUCCGGAGCGCUGCAUUGAUAAUAGUAAAGCUUCUGUCUCUGUUAUGAUGGCCGGGACGCAUUUUUACCGACCCUAGCCACGUUCAGCGCGUCAACGUGCCGAAGAUGCCCGAGUGUCCAAUAGAGGCGCGCGGCCUACCGAUCAUAAGCGGAAUUAGAGCGCGAUGCUAAAUAUUGAUCAGUAUAGAUUUUUUUGCGGACCACAUAGCGAGUCGGUGGGUUCAAAAUGAGUAAAAUUAAUACGUUUUUUGCAUUUGAUACAAGUUGCAAAAUAGAAACAAAGGAUUUUAAAUCAAGUGAAUGUUUUACAGUCGAUAUCCACACAAAAUUCGCUUCAGAAGACUACUCAAACCAAGUCAAGAAAUGGAUAUCAAACUUUUCUAUGGUCACCAAGACAAACUGGAUUGUAUUUAGAUCAUUUCCCGAUAAUAAAAGACACCUCUUUAGAAAAAAAUAUAAGUGCCAACACAACUGCAAAAAUAAAGGUGAUAAAAGUGUAAAAAACCGACAAAGGAAUCUAAACUGUAAGGCAUUUGUUAAGGUGCUAAUAAAGAAAGUCAACAAGAACACAAUAAAAAAUGACCCUUUUCUAAAAGAAAAUCCUAAUGUUCUCAUAAAGAUACAUUUUGAACAUAGCCACGUGAUUGAUGUUGCCGAAGCAUAUGGUUUUCUAAGAAUUUCGGAAGGUACAAGGCAAUCCUAUAUAGAAUAUUUUAAUAUGGGUAUGACACCAGCAGCUGCUCACAGUUUUCAUGAACUUAAAAUAUUGGGCGAUAAUGAAGACAAUUUUUCUCGUGUUAAAAUUUUGGCAAAUGCUCAAGUCAAUCCAAGAAAAAGACAUAUAUAUACACAUUAUUCAAUAAUUGGAGGUAUGGAGAAAUCAAUAAAACUUUGGUGGCACGUCAUCAAUGACACCACGCGCUUUCUUAUGGCAUUUGCUGGUUUAAAGUUUAAAGUUGGCAGAAUUGAGGCCUAUGAAUUUAUGGCAGUCACAACUAUGGCAGGCAUGUGGGUAAGGGGAUAUGUGGAAAACUCGAAGCCGUCAAUAACUCAAAAACAAUUGAAGAUAAGGUCUAUGGUACUUUUAUCAAAAAAUACU
rnacentral:lncRNA from 1 species